AAUGUCCUACGGGAGGCAGCAGUGGGGGAUAUUGCACAAUGGGGGCAACCCUGAUGCAGCGACGCCGCGUGAGCGAUGGAGUACUUCGGUAUGUAAAGCUCUGUCAGCAGGGAAGAGAAUGACGGUACCUGACCAAGAAGCCCCGGCUAACUACGUGCCAGCAGCCGCGGUAAUACGUAGGGGGCAAGCGUUAUCCGGAUUUACUGGGUGUAAAGGGAGCGUAGACGGCCAUUCAAGCCAGAUGUGAAAGCCCGGGGCUCAACCCCGGGACUGCCUUUGGCACUGUG
rnacentral:rRNA from 1 species